rnacentral:rRNA from 1 species
CCUACGGGGGGCUGCAGUGAGGAAUAUUGGUCAAUGGGCGGAAGCCUGAACCAGCCAAGUAGCGUGCAGGAUGACGGCCCUACGGGUUGUAAACUGCUUUUAUACGGGAAUAACGCGCCUUACGUGUAGGGCUUUGCAUGUACCGUGUGAAUAAGGACCGGCUAAUUCCGUGCCAGCAGCCGCGGUAAUACGGAAGGUCCGGGCGUUAUCCGGAUUUAUUGGGUUUAAAGGGAGCGCAGGCGGGCGUGCAAGUCAGCUGUAAAAUCGAGAGGCUCAAACGCGCCCCGCAGUUGAAACUGGGCGCCUUGAGUGCGCAACAGGCAGGCGGAAUUCGUGGUGUAGCGGUGAAAUGCAUAGAUAUCACGAGGAACCCCGAUUGCGAAGGCAGCCUGCCGGCGUGCGACUGACGCUGAUGCUCGAAGGUGCGGGUAUCAAACAGGAUUAGAUACCCUUGUAGUC